AUACGGAGGGGGUUAGCGUUGUUCGGAAUUACUGGGCGUAAAGCGCACGUAGGCGGAUUGGAAAGUUGGGGGUGAAAUCCCAGGGCUCAACCCUGGAACUGCCUCCAAAACUAACAGUCUAGAGUUCGAGAGAGGUGAGUGGAAUUCCAAGUGUAGAGGUGAAAUUCGUAGAUAGUUGGAGGAACACCAGUGGCGAAGGCGGCUCACUGGCUCGAUACUGACGCUGAGGUGCGAAAGCGUGGGUAGAAAACGGGAUUAGAAACCCCAGUAGUCC
rnacentral:rRNA from 1 species